GCUAAAAAAAGGAAAGAACAAUCAAUACUCACUAAUUUUACUGAAAUCUGGUUAGGUGGAAAUCAAUUCAAAGAAUCUUUUUUCCAUUAUAAUUCAUGCAAGAUUCACUGUAAAUCUUUACAGCCAUAAAUUAGUCCAAGUAUUGGGCAUCAAAACCGUGCUCGUGGUAUCUAAAUAUAGUAGCUCGACAUACAAAGAAAGAUUGGGGUGUUAUUUAGUGCUCUGGAUUGUCAACUUGCUGGUGUCUGUAAGGAUGAAGAUUUUAACGGUAUAUAGGUAAUGUUGAAUUGAAUUUUUAAGGUUGUAGCAGUGUUGGUGACCGGAGUGAAGGAAGGUAAAGGAAAGAGAGAUGACAAGCUCCACCGAAGAUGCAGUCCAUCAGUCCAGAGUUCCUGGAAAGGAUGAAUCCAUUAUUGACAUGAAAGGAGAUGAAGUGAAUGACAGUCCUAUAGAGCAAGUAAGGUUGACGGUUCCCAUCACAGAUGAUCCUUCACAACCUGUGUUGACUUUUCGAACGUGGCUUCUUGGGUUAGCAUCAUGCGUGCUGCUCUCUUUCGUGAAUCAAUUUUUUGCUUACCGUUCAAAUCAACUUAGUGUCACUGCAGUUUCAGCGCAAAUUGUCACUCUCCCACUUGGAAAGCUGAUGGCUUCAACACUUCCCAAGAAGCAGAUCAAAAUUCCAUUGACAAAAUGGUCAUUUUCCUUGAAUCCAGGGCCUUUCAAUUUGAAAGAACAUGUCUUGAUAACCAUAUUUGCAAGCGCUGGAACUGGAGGUGUUUAUGCAGUAAGCAUUAUCACUUCUGUCAAGGCCUUCUAUAGGAGACCUCUACAUCCGGUUGCAGCUAUGUUGCUAGUACAAACAACUCAGAUGCUUGGGUAUGGAUGGGCCGGUGUUUUUAGGAAAUUUCUGGUGGAUUCACCAUACAUGUGGUGGCCCUCAAACCUCGUUCAAGUCUCUCUAUUCAGGGCAUUACAUGAAAAAGAAAAGAGAAGCAAGGGAGGACUUACUAGGCUGCAAUUCUUUCUCGUUGUUUUCAUAUCUAGUUUUGCUUACUAUCUCUUUCCAGGCUACCUUUUCCCUUCCUUGUCUACGAUCUCCUUCAUUUGUUGGAUAUGGAAAGACUCGGUCACUGCUCAACAGAUCGGUUCAGGGCUAAAUGGCCUUGGUAUUGGCUCUUUUGGCCUCGACUGGUCCACUGUUUCUAGCUUCUUGGGGACACCUCUUGCUGUGCCCUUCUUUGCUAUUGCAAACACUCUGGGCGGUUUUUUCUUGCUAAUGUAUAUUAUAGUGCCCAUUGCUUACUGGACUAAUGCAUUUGAUGCUAAGAAAUUCCCCAUCUUUUCUGCCCACACUUUUGACAAUGCUGGUCAGACGUACAACAUAAGCCGAAUUCUCAACCAAAAAACUUUCGACAUUGAUCUAGAUGCCUAUAAAGCUUACAGCAAGCUACAUCUCAGUGUUUUAUUUGCCUUUGCAUAUGGACUUGGUUUUGCAGCUCUGAUGGCCACUAUUUCACAUGUUGCACUCUUUGAGGGAAAGAAUAUUUGGAAAUUGUGGAGGAAGACUUCCAGUGCAGUGAAAGAUAAAUAUGCUGAUGUGCAUACUAGACUGAUGAAGAAGAACUAUGAAGUGGUUCCUCAAUGGUGGUUUGUUGCAAUCUUGGUUGUAUCUGUGGCUUUAUCCCUUCUUGCAGUAGAAGGUUUUAACAAACAAUUACAACUUCCAUGGUGGGGGCUUCUCUUUGCUUGUGCAAUUGCCCUUGUUUUCACCCUGCCCAUUGGGGUUGUUCAGGCCACAACAAACAUGCAAAUGGGUCUAAAUGUGAUUUCAGAGUUUAUUAUCGGAUAUAUCUACCCUGGGAGGCCUCUUGCCAAUGUGACAUUCAAGACAUAUGGAUACAUAAGCAUGGCUCAAGCCCUUUUCUUUCUGCAAGACUUCAAAUUAGGCCACUAUAUGAAAAUUCCUCCCAAAUCCAUGUUCAUUGUUCAGUUUGUUGGAACAAUUGCUUCUUCGACUGUCUACUUUGCUACAGCAUGGUGGCUUCUAUCAACUGUUGAUAACAUAUGUAUCCCAGAAUUGUUACCAGAAGGAAGUCCAUGGACAUGCCCUGGGGACGGUGUUUUUUACAAUGCUUCAAUCAUAUGGGGAGUCGUAGGCCCUCUCAGAAUGUUUGGGAAUUUAGGUUUGUACAAUAGCAUGUGCUGGUUCUUUCUAAUUGGUCUAGUAGCCCCAGUUCCAAUAUGGUUAUUGUCGCGCAAAUAUCCUGAGAAGAAAUGGAUCAGGCUCAUCCACAUGCCAAUUUUUUUGUCAGCCACAUCAAGCAUGCCUCCAGCUGGAGCUGUGCACUACUUGAGCUGGGGAGUUGUUGGAAUAUUUUUCAACUUCUAUAUUUAUAGAAUGUACAAGGCAUGGUGGGCUAGGCAUAAUUACAUCUUAUCAGCUGGUCUGGAUGCUGGUGUUGCUUUCAUGGGGAUAAUCGUCUUCUUCAGCCUUCAAUCCCAGAAUAUCUAUGGUCCUCAAUGGUGGGGUCUGGAUAGCACUGACCAUUGCCCAAUUGCAAAUUGCCCCACUGCUCCAGGGAUUGUUGUGGAGGGAUGCCCUGUUGUUAAUUGAGCUGCUUGAAUAUUUCCCUAGAUGCAUCAGAACAUGUGGAAUACAGAACUUCUUUUUCAAAGGCACAUUCUCGUAUAGGAUUAUGGGAAUUAUAAAUAGUAGAUAUAAUGUCGUUUGUAAAAAGUCUUUUUUUUUUUCUUUAUGCUUGUUAGAUUUCAGACUUUUGGCUUUCAUAUUCCUAGUUUGAGUCCUUUCUUUCUUUUUCUUUUUCUUUUUAAUGAUGUUUUAUUAACUAUUUCAAUAGAUUUUCUUCAUAAUUUUAUGUUUA
rnacentral:misc_RNA from 1 species